rnacentral:lncRNA from 1 species
AAUCUGACCCCCAGGGUAUGCCAGAUCCACCACAAAUAACAUAAAUAUAGGGAGUCUAUUGUUCACACGGACAGAGUCUCCCUAUAUUUGCACGGCGUCGCACUAGUACAAGAUACAUAACACAGGAUACAACCACUACAUAUGAAUAUACACGCAUUCAUACACCAUUCAUAUUCAGAUUCACAUUCAGAAUUUAUCCAUAAAUCCACAACUAUUAGUUUAAAAACUAUUAGUUUAAAAUGUUUCCUAUCCGGAAACUCGUUUUGAAAUACUAAGUCAUGACAACCAAGAAAAAAUCUUUUAAAAACUAUUUUCCACAUGAAAAUUUUUUCCUUUUAAAACAUACUACCACGAAAGGCAGAAAAUCAUUUUCAGUUUACAAGAAUCACAAAUCCUUUAUUACAUUCAUGAAAACCCAAAUAUUCAAAUGUAAUAAAAUACUGAACCAUAAUUGCUGUCU